GACGAGGGAUCCUAGCGUUGUUCGGAAUCAUUGGGCGUAAAGCGGGUGUAGGCGGACUAAUAAGUCAGAUGUGAAAUCCCAGGGCUCAACCCUGGAAGUGCAUUUGAUACUGUAAGUCUUGAAUGUGGUAGAGGUUACUGGAAUUGUUGGUGUAGUGGUGAAAUACGUAGAUAUCAACAGGAAUACCGGAGGCGAAGGCGAGUAACUGGGCCAACAUUGACGCUGAGAUCCGAAAGUGUGGGGAUCAAACAGG
rnacentral:rRNA from 1 species